rnacentral:lncRNA from 1 species
AGUUCUCAUCUCUGCUCUGGUUGUUUGUCCGAGUACUUUGCUGGGCUCCAGUGUGGGCAAUUUGCUGAGCACCUCUACUUCACCCAUAAAACCAAGAUGAUGAUAACAGUAACUAUCUGCUUUGCAUGAAUUUGUUCAACUCUUUGGAAAGUUAGAAGCACCCUGUAUCAUUGUCAUAUUAAGGGAGAAUGUAUGCAUGGAGUGGGAGCUGUGCGUGGCUCGGGAGGAGUUGUCUGGGGCUUAACGUUUGGUCCGUAAAGCUCAGACUAUAUUUAGAGGGAAGCUAGAAAUAUUUCAGAGCCCUCUCUCGGUUGUCGAAGCAAUCAGAUCUCAUAACUGAAUGACUGUGGUGUUAUGCCAGUACAUGUUACUUUUUUUUUUUUCCUUUUUUCCUCCUUUGUGUUCGUUUUGUUAUUGAGGCUCUGAAUUCCAUGGCUUUGCAGCACAGUUGAUGUGAAAACUGUGUCUGCUGUUAUGGUGGUGCGUGUUUUGGAGUGUCUGGUACUUCUAAUAGGAGACUUCCCACUCUUGAGUGGGAGUGGAGGAUGUACAUAAAAGCAGUGGUUUGGGACAAAAGUUCUGCUGAGAACCAGAAACGCACUCAAUUAAAUGCUCUGUCUGGACUAUUUGUAACAUUAUUCCUGUGGUCUUACCUAAAAGGACAUUUCAGCCGCAUAAAUCAUGGAUGUCGAUUGGCCAGGUCCUCAGCUGGGAUAAACUACCACGGUUUCAUUGGCUUUAAUGGCAUUUCACACCAGCUGAGAAUAUGGUCCAUUCAUUUCACUGGAGUUGAAUCAGGGACGGAUUUGGUCCACUACACUAUGGCAGUAUGAACCAAUUCACAAGGCUGAUACUCAGACAGUUAUAACUGAAUAAUAAUCUAUCAAAGCAUAUACCUCUUUCCAUUUAUUGCUUUACCCUGCCUGGGGAUUCAGGAAGACGCGUUCAGAAAGCUGUUUUCCCCAGAAGUAAGGCUGGAACCACCUUUAGUGUUGUUCUUAUCAGUGCAGGAUUAAUGACAAUAAUCGAUUCUGACUUCAAAUCCUGCAAACCAGCUCGAUGACAGAUUUCAGCUAAAUUAUGCGGGGCAGAAUUUGGCCCCACGUGCGUAUGAACUUUUCCUGUAUGUAGAUUUCCAGUGCCUGUGCACUUCUCGUAGCAAGGACGGAUGAGCAACCAACAGGGUUCAUCCCCCUGGUUUCAUUACGAAGUGAGUGUGCAGAACUCCCAGGGCAUAAAUCAUGUUGUAUUCGUGGUCAAGAAGCAUCUCAAAUCACAAAAAGAAUAAUAAUUUUUUAACUCUGGAAACAAAGUGAUGACAUUUUACAAGCAAGAAGACCUGAAGUCUUCCUGUAUCUCCUAGCAGUUACUAUCUUGAAGGAUAUUUUAUACCUUACUUGUAUGUUUCAUAUAAUUUAAAAGUAGCUUCUUACAUUUCUAAACUCAAGGAGGGGGUGAAUCUUCUGACUUCCAGGAUUCACGUUCAGAGGAUGUUUGUUCUUUUGCUGCAUGUACUGUUUGUCCAGAACUAACCAGUUAUUUCUGUGAUAAGGGUUUAUUGUGCCUUACAACAAAUAUGAAAUCUAAACGGAAUGUAUGCAUUGGAGGAGGGAAUAAUCAGAAGUCUUUACUGCACUGUUAGGUGAUGCCUACCCAGAGUGCGUCAUCAAACAUAUCUGUGCUUAAUUACCCAACCAAAGAGAUCUAAAGUAUGUAUGUUUGUUGUACUGUAAUAGGGGUUUGUGCCUGGACAAUUAAGUGUUUUAUUUGUAUUCUGAGAUGAUGUGAACUUAUUUUUCUAAACACUAUACUGAAUAAACUUUAUAUUUAUACACA